rnacentral:tRNA from 1 species
GUUUCUAUAGUUGAAUAACAACGAUGAUUUUUCAUGUCAUUGGU